ACUGCCGACCGCGCCCACUUCAGCGGAAAAUACCAAGCUGGAAUCUCAUUGGCUUAGUUCUGGGCACGUGUCCACCCAGAACCAAUCCCAGUGGCCAAAGCAUGGGCUGUGAUGAUUGGCUAUAAUGCUUAUCAGUUAUGGGAAUAGGCUGCUGGCCUUGUUUUUGUCUCCUGGCAACACAUGGCCCUCCCUCUGCACCGCCCAGCUGGGCCCUGCCCUACACUGCCCUGUUCUGCCCAGCGGGAAAUGGUUCUUCUCCGCCCGGCUCAGGCGCUGAUCUCGGCUCAGCUCCAGCGCAGUGAUCACAAGAAACAGCGCCACUGUGCCAGGCUUCCACAGGACAGACUCUAAAAGGACAUUGCCAGAGGACAGGCCACCAUAUGACCUGUGCAGCCUGCGGUCACUGCAUGAGUCCCUGUUACACCUGCGUGGAGCUGAUAACCCUUGGCUCCGUAAAUUAUGAUGUUUGCCUGGACAGAUGGCUCCUGGAAAAACAGCCACAUUUCCCAGCCUCCUCUGUACCCACUGUGGCCAAAUGAUUCAAUUCUAGCGGCCCAGGCUCACAGCCCAGAGCGGGAGGACGCAGUAGAGGCACACAGGAGUGCCUCUGGGAGCCAUGACGGCGGGGUGAACUGAGGCCACGAGCUCCAGGAACUCGGGAUGGAACUGGCUGGCUGGCUGGCUGGCUGGCUGGAUGGAUGGAUGGACUGACGGUGGGUGCCAGUGGAAAAGGAAAUACAGUGAAUGCCAGGAGGAGCGAAAAGCUUCCCACAGGUGUUUAUCACACGGCCUGGAUUCAAGGCCAAACUGUACAUCACGGUGGUUACCGACUCCUCUCCUCAUCACUGUCCCGCGGCUGUCAUCCCUUGCGCGUCGAGGUGUCUUGUGUGGUCUCAGAGGACCCCAGUCACUGGAGAGGCCAGGGGUGGUGAUGCGCGCCCGUCUUCGCCGCCUCUAGGAGGCUAACUGAGGUAGGAGGGGUGUCAGUUUCAACCCAGCCUAAGCAGCUUAAUGACUUAGCCAGACCGUCUUGAGCAAAAAGAAAUAAAAAUAAGGCUGGAGAUCAGCAGAACGGAGCACGAAGAUCUUGGGUUCGAUCCGUAGUACUCCCCCCGCCAAAAAAAAAAAAAAAAAGCCAGAAAAAACCCAAAGAAUUACGCACUUGGUUCUAUUUGGUGCAUCCUGUGGUUUGGACCGGGUCUGACUGUUUUCCCAAAACUUCGCGGGCUGGAAUUUAAUCCCUGGCGUGACGUCACGAGGGGCGGGGCCUCUAUGGCGCUGACGCUGCGGGGGCGGGGCCUCCGACCUGCGGCGAAGAUCAAGUGCGGCGGAGCAGAACACACAUGAGCUUGUCUCGUGCCUGCUGACUCUCUGGCCGCCUGGGGCUAAGAAUGUUCAAAUCUUCGGAACCCUGAGCUCACAUUGGGCCCCCAGCCCGUACCGGAACACACAGCAGAUAACAGCAAACAAGACCGAGGACGCCUGCCACCACCGCCGCCACAUCUGGAGUCACUUGGGAAGUUUUUUAUUUUUAUAUUUUCUUAGUUGGGAAGUUUUUGUCUUGAUUCACUUUGGUUUUGGAGACAGGGUCUCCUUGUGUAGUUCGGUCUGGCCUUGAACUCUCUAUGUGGCCCAGGUUGCCCUUGACCCAUGGUGAUCCUCCUGUCUCAGCCGUCUGCAUGAUGAAAUUACAGGCAGGUGCCACCAAGCCCGCCUCUGUUUUCAGUCUCGCUAAUUUUCUCUCUGAGGACCUUGUUCUGGUCCAGGGGCGCAGCCAGGACAUCAUUCCGCUAUGCUAUCUCCUUACUGUCUUGUGACAGGUGACAGUGUCUGUAUUUUCCCUUCUCAUGCCUUUGACACCUUGCUCACAUAUUUUACAGAAUAUUCUCAAAGUGGAACAAACAUCUGACAUUCUCUCGGGGUUCAUUUGAGCCACUGGCUGUGGUGUAAUCCCAUUGUUCAGGAGGCUGAGACAGGAGUAUUGCCAUGAGUUUAAGGCCAGCCUGGGCUACAAAGUGAGCUCAAGGCCAGCUUGAACUACAUAGCAAGACCCUGUCUCAAAACAAACAAUAACAACAAAAAAAUUAGAGUAAUUUGAUUUACAUAAGUAAAAUUGGAUCUAUCUGUGAUCAUACUGGUCCAUGAUACCAAAUAUCAAACAAUUGGCAAACAUAGGUUUAACAUCUCUCAAUAAUUACUAACAUUUUGGAAGAGGCAAUAGGAGAGGCAAAAUCCUUAAAGUUUCAUCCACUAAUCUUACGUUUUUUGGCGUGGGGGUACUGGGAAUCGGACUCAGGGUCUCACGCUUGCCAGGCAGGCGCUGUGCCACUGAACUGCAUCCCCAGCCCACGUCCACUAAUCUGAGCACACAUGGGCAUUGCCUACUGCAGUUACCGCCAUGCAGCCCAACUAAGGGUUCUCUUAGACUCUCCCCUCUUUUCCUUCCCCUGUUCUCCUCUCCGUCUUGCUUGUCCUCCCUCCCUCUCCUCUUCUCUCCUUUCCUUUCCUGAUUUUCUUCCUCCACUUACAUUUUUUUUCUUUUUCAGACAAGAUCUCACUAUGUUGCCCAGUCUGGCUUCAAACUCUUGGGCUUCAAUGAUCCUCCUGCUUCAGCCUCCAGAGUAGCUGAGACUACAGGUCGCCGAACCAUGGACAGAAAAUCCUUUGUUUGUGUCUUUAAUAUUGGUCUUUUGUGGCGCCUGGUUUAAUGUUUUACUCCUCAACUGAUUAUGUACAACCUUGGCAUGCCUUUAAAAGUGUUUUUCUGGUUAAAAUAUAAAUAUAUAACAAUACAUAUAUAUGUUUAUGGUUUUUAGAAUCAUAUUGGCUUUACCAAAUAAAGCCAGGUCAUACUGUUAUUGAGCCAGUUUAAAAAGUUACAGUUUUUAAAGUGUAACAUUUUAAGGUGGUAAAAAGACAUAAAAUGAUUUAAUAUAUUUUAGACUAAUAAGAAAGUCACUUCAAGGAUUUUGUUAAAAGUUUUAAUGUCUAAAAAGCUAGAAAAAAAGGUAAUUGACGGGUAAUAAACAGCAACAGAAAAACAAAUGUGUUCAGAACUUGACAGUAUUGGAUCAGUAAACUUUUACUAUAAAAUGUUUCCAUUAAAAUAAGAUUAUAUUCUAAAAAGGGAAGGACAAACUGGAACCCUUUGUCAUCCCAAGUUUAUAUAAUGGUAAAAAGUCAGUGUUGACCAUAUAUAAAAUAUAUUUGCCUAUAAAAAUAAAAAUUAAAAAGGGCUGUAAUUCUCAGUCCCAUCUGGACUAGAAGCUAUCAGUGUUCAGAAUUGCUGGACUCCUCUUCCUCACCCGCCUUUUUCUAAGGACCCUCAGGGCCUUAUUUCUCUUUUGGAAUUUGUCUUCUCCAUUUAUCACCCCACUUGGGAUGACUGCCAGCAGAUUUUGCAGGUUUUGUUUACAGUAAAAGAGAGAGAAAAAAAUUCAUGUUGUGGGAUUAAAAAAAAAAAAAACAGUAUACAUUCCAAAUAAAAACCUGUCCUCUGAUCCCGAAUGCUAGAACCAGGUUUUCCCUUUGUCCCGCCCUGAUCCAACAACCAGAGGUAAGAAGGCUCUCGUUCAGUAUCGCCAGUUCUCAAAAGCCUUUAAGGGCUGCCAAAAAACCCACCAAUUGGUCCAAGGUAACAGAGGUGAGACAAUUAGAUGAUGAGUCUCCCUUGGGGUUUCUGGAGAGAUUGCUAGAGGCCUAUUACAUUUGUACACCUGUAGAUCUGGUAGCACCUAAAAAGGCAAGGGCCAUUAAUAAUACCUUUGUAACUCUCGGCACCUGAUAUUAAGCGAAAGUUGCAAAGACUUGAGAGAUUUAAAAAAAUACCCCUCAGUUAGUUAUUAGAGUUUGCUUAGAACUGACUCUUUCCUCCCAGCUGAUGCAAGCCAUUCAACAGAUUCCAGUUCCUGUGACUAAAAAGCAUAUAUGAGAAUUUCUAGGAGUCAUAGGAUAUUGCCUGCCUUAGAUUACAGACUCAUGAGACCAGGCUUUUUAGCAAUUGAAAUCAGCCUUAACAGACGCUCCAGGUCUGGCUCUGUCAAAGUUGCAAAAACCUCUUUCCCUCUAUGUUGAUAAAAAACAAGGGAUAGCAAAAGGAGUACUGACCCAGAGUUUAGGACCAUGGCAAAGGCCUAUUGCCUAUCUUUCCAAGAGACUUGAUAACGUGGCAGCCCAAUGGCUGCCUUGCCUGCAGAUGGUUGCCUCGGUGGCCCUCCUGAUAAAAAUGGCCCAGAAGAUGACAUUUGGACAAAAACUUUUAAUUAUCUCCUCUCGUUCCCUGGAGACUCUCAUCAAAGCUUCACCACACAGAUGGCUGCCUAUCAGGCAUUACUUCUCGAUCUGACUACCAUCAGUUUCAAGGGGACAGUGUCUUUAAAUCCAGAUACUCAGCUGCCUGAUGAUGACCUCUCCUUGCCCUUCUGAUCAUUUCAUGGGGCUUCAACCAGACUUGACAGAUGAGCCACUGUCCGGAGUUCCAUCAUAUUUUUCUGAUGAAAGCAGUCACAUCUAUCAAGGUAAGCAGGUCGUGGGAGCCGCUGUCACAGACUCUCAGAUUCUAUGGGAACAAAGUUUGGAGCCAAAAACAUCAGCCCAAUGGGCUGAACUCAUUGCCCUCACUGAGGCCCUCAAGUUGUCAGACUGAUAGCAGAUAUGCAUUUGCUACUGCCCAUGUUCAUGGGGCCAUUUAUCAGGAAUGAGGUUCAUUGACUUAAGGGAGCCAAAAGAUAAAAAUGCUCCCCAAGUUUUAGAUUUGUUAGCUGCCAUUUGGAUGCCAAGGAAUAUGGCUAUUAAAUAAUCUAACAGACGCAGCUACCCAAAAAGCAGCCACAAAAUCAGUGGGGAUUGAGACAAUCCUGACAUUGCUACUGAUUCCACCCACUCUGUCAGAGCCCUUUUGUACUCAAAAAGACUUACAUUUGGCAGCUCAACUCCAAGCAAAGUCUGAUAUCCCUGGGGCCUGGUACCAACUGCCUGAUAAUUGAGUCCUCCUCUGCAAGGCCUUGAGAUAAAAACUCAUCCAACAAGCUCAUAAGUCCACUCACAUGGGAGGAUCAAAAUUCGCUGCUCUUUUUGAGAUCAUUUCUUUAUCCCUCAGUUAUCGAAGCUUACUCAGUCUGUGAACGUCCUGCAGUGAAACCUAGGACACUACUCAUCAAGAGACAUCACCAUGAGUCUCUCAAACCAUGGUAAAAAAAACCCUUACACCGUGGUCCUCAGCACUGACUGCCAUCAAAGUCACGAAAAAGCCUGCCUCGAUUCAUCAUUGCCACUUCAAGCCAGUUCUGGCCUCUGACAGCGAUCAACCUACAGAUAAGUGGACUGUUGUUCCCUCCAAGAAUUCUUUAAAGCUUAAGAUUGCCAAGUGUAUCUGAUAAUCUUGUUCUUAAGUGCUAUUCCUUAUAAAGACCCCAAGGAGAUACCUUGUAACCCACUGUUUAAAACUCAAAAUUACUAUUUCACUGGUAAAUUAUUGGUAGCCAAUGCUACUGUCUAUGAGAUAAUUAAGAUAAAUUUAUGUUCCCUAUUAACAUCCCAGCAAAAAUUAGACAAAAAAUGUUGUUGGGUUUGCAUAUCAUGCUGCCUGAUUGGUUGCUAAUAGAGACUUACAGGGACCUACGUAUUCAAAAAAGUUACAGUCCACGGGCUGGUAUGUUUGUCCCCAAAAGCAACAGCCAGCCUCUGAUCAUAGGUGUUCACAGUCCAUAGAGAUAAAAUACUUUUGUAGACAUUGGGGUUGUAAAUUUGUAUUUCCUUGACAAAAAAAUAAAGGGGGUCGUUACCUCCUCACUCUGGAGACCCCAAUCUUCUGUUCUCCUCCACUAGACUUCCUGCUCCUGAGACCUUUUUGCCCUCUGCGAUUUCUGUGACAUCUCUAGCCCCUUCUCACCUCUGGACAUUGCUUAUGACAAAUCAACUUUUAAAUUCCUGUAUAGAUGACACCUUUUGUUGGUGGGAUGCUAAGCCCCUGCUCACACUGGACAAUGUACAGGGUGCUCAGGAACCUGUGUUUACUCUGCCUCCUACUCCUUGCACACUUCCCCUUAUGCUGCACUCUGUAAUCCUACCUCUUGAGCUUUGAUUUAUACAUUUUCCUAUCCUGCAAAUCAACACCUUGUUUCUCCCAAUGGAGCCUGGUUUGCCUGUACUUCUAAUAUAACUCCUUGUUCCAUGCAUCACCUGUUCACCCAGUGCCCUGAGUUUUACAUAGUAGUCCAUAUCUUUCCCCAAGUAUAUUGGUACUCUAGAGAUAAUGGUAAGAGUCACUUGUUUCCUAGCUUUGACUUAGAGUUCGGUAAAAACAAAAAAAAAUCCUGUAUGAUUACUGUAUUACUAAAAAUUGAGAUAACAAGGUCAAUAGGUUUAAGAGUGUCCAGCCUAAUAGUCAAAAGACCAAAAUUAUAGACACUUACAUACACUCGUUGACCAAGAUUUAACAGCCCUUAGUGACUCUGUCUCCAAAUUAGAUGAUUCUUUAAGUUCACUGACUGAGAUGGUUUUAUAAAACCAGCAGGGUCUAGAUCUCCUGUUCCUAAAGAAAGGAGGCCUCUGUCUGGCAUUAAAAAAAAUUGUUGUUUGUAUGCCAAUCAUUAUGGGGUUAUGAGACAAAAUAUGGCCAGCCUUAAAAGACAGCUACAAAAAUGAGAACAAGCCAGACAAGCUAAACAGAAUUGGUUUAAAUGAUGGUUUUCUCUAUCUCCCUGGUUGACAACGUUAAUCAUAGCAGCCUCCAGACCUCUGUUAAUCUUACUUACCUGUUUAACAAUUGGACCUUACAUUAUAAACAGAUUAGUAAAUUAUGUCAAAGACCAGGUUCAAACAAUAAAACUCAUGGUUUUAAGGACACAAGUUUAUGAACAAAUACCACUGCUUGAAAAUUCCACGAGCCAAUGAUUUGGCUCACUGACAAAAAUCAGUGGGGAAUGUUAUACUAAAAUGCUAAAAAUUAAAAUAAUUGAUUAAAAGAUAAACAAAAAUAGUUACUUAAAAAGGUAGUUAUUAGUAAGAUUGUCAUUCUGUACUGAGCUCAUUACCCUAGUAACCAAGCACCAACCACAUAGUUAUAAAUUAACUGACCACGUCGUUCUGCUGCUCUGUAAUGCAUCAUCCCCCCCACCUUAGUGACCUGUGUGCUAUGUCAACUUUUGUUCCCCUUGUAAGAGACAAAUGAUGCUAUGUCAACCAUUGUUCCAUUUAUGAGAGACAAAUGUUCCCAGAAUUGGCAGACCAAGGGCUAUGAAUUGGCUAACCACCCACUGUGAAAUGCUUCUUACCUCAAGCAAAGGGGAACAAGGCCCACCUUAUUUCUGUUUCUCAUCACUAUGUACUUAAUGAUCAAUGAGCUAAUCAUAAAUGAACUAUAAAAAUCAGUCAAAACUCUAACUCAGUUGCACAGCUUUGCAAAUUCCAUCUGCACUGUGUUGCUGGGCCAGCUAAAAUAAAAGCGCUUCUUUUAAAAAACACGUUUUGCCCCGUUUGUCAUCUUGGGGUCUUGCCCCGCUUUUCACCAUGGGGUCUUGUUUUUUAAGUAAAGUACAACAUAUAGUACAUGCUCAGUUAAUAUUUACCGAAGGGAUAAAUUCAUGAGGCUGGAAGAAAGAGAAAUAGAGAGGAAACAGAGGGGAGGAAAAACAAUCAUCAUAAGAGCUGGCAUCGAAUUAGGGGGUGGCAAAUCAGGAUGGACAAUGGGCGUGAACUGUCAAUCACAGAGAGCUGUCAAGUCAUGCCCAAUCAGGACUAAGCAACUGGGCGUGGCAUAAAGCUGUCAACCUUGGCCUGGACGCAUGCACAGAGCAGCUUCGAAAAAUCCUGAAAUCAAAAGACAGUAUAACAGAUGAGCCAUCGGGCCUCCUCACCACUGCCCUCUUGUUCUGGUGGUGGCCUGUCUCGCGUGCAGGGUUCAUCUUUUCUUUCUCCUCUUUUUUUCUUUUCUUCUUUUGUUUAAUAAACGUUAAACUGUUAAUGUUCA